GUUGCGCAUGCGUCAGCGAGUUGCUCCAAGUCGCGCCGGGAGUCUGGGCGCCAAGGGUCCCGCUGAAGUGUUCCCUCCUCUUCUUCCUCCUCUUCCUGAGUCCGCCAGCUAACGCGGACUGGAACUCUCCCGGAAGAGUCUUCAAAAUCAGGGGUGGAUUUUAUACCUACAGCACAUGUCAAUUCAGAUUAGCCCUAUUUCAAGUACUCAUGUGGCUAUGUGAAGGUCUAGGAUAUGCCUUUCCUAGAAGAAGUUAACCGGGAGGCCAAGAUAAUAAUCAGAAGACUCUCUGUGGAAGCCUGGAGUCUUAACCACUGGACUUCCAGGGAAGCCCCAUGUUGUUAUACUUUUGAAGGCUCCGCACACGCAGGCUCAGCAGCCAUGGCUCACAGGCCCAGCCGCUCCACGGCAUGUGGGAUCCUCCCGGACUGGGGCACGAACCUGUGUCCCCCACGUCGGCAGGCGGACUCUCAACCACUGCGCCACCAGGGAAGCCCGGUUAUUUCUUAUUUAUUUAUAUUAUUAUAUACUUUGUAAUUUUGUCAGGUUUUAUCAGUUUGUUUCAGUUCUUGAUGUGUUAAGGUUAAGACAUUGCUAGUUUUUUUUUUUUUAAUGGAUAGUGUUGAUAGUUCUUUUAAAAUAAUAUUCCUUUAAACACCAGUUUUCAACAUGUAGGGUUUUGGGAUUCUAAAAAAUAUAUUAUUUGGGGAAAACAUUUAGUUUCCAUUCUUUUUAGGCACUCUUUGAACUGCUUUCUUAUGCUGUCAAUGGGUGUGGGCUCAAGUGGUGUAAACUACUUAUACUAAGCAAUUACUUUAAGAAAAAUAAAAUUACAAAGAUACAUUUUCUGUAAAACAUACAUUGGGUAUACAAAAGUGUGGUAAAAAAUGUUUUUGGGAAAAAAAUGCUUUGGGGAAUAUUUACUACUUUGAAUUAUCUGCACUAUUUUCCUACGGUAGUGCCAAUAGAGUAGAUUGUGUGUGAAAAGAUUUUCUGAGUUUAUUUAUUUAUUUAUUUAUUAAAGUUUAUCUUUUGAGAUAAAAUUCACAUGUGAAAAGAUUUUUACCUUCAGAUUUUGGAAGACUAUAUUGUUUAAUUUAGAAAGGAGGCAUGGACUGUGUACCUCUUCUUAUGUACCCCCAAACCUGAAGUAUGCCUUAUUGUUAAUUCCUAGUGCUCAGAACUGAAUUUUUUUUGUUAUUUUAAAUUAGUGCUCGUUUCUAUGGGCUGCAAACUUUUCCCAAUAGCUGAAGCAGAGACUUCUGGGCACUGUUUUAUUUCUUCUUUCUUCACAGUUUUAAAAGAGCCCCUUGCCUCCUCUGUUUGUCAUUACGUGUACUGAAGUACAGAAUAGAAAAUGCAAAACAAGACAGCUGUACAGGAGGUUUUUCUUUUUAAAGAAGUUGAUAGACAAAUGGCACAGGGUUCACUGUUCUCGCCAGCUGAGAGUUUAGCUUCCAGAAACCGCUACUUUAGGGGAACAAGUGAAGUAGUGUGGAAGGCCUGAAAGGCUUCAUUGACACAACAGCCGGGAGGCUCUUGUACUACUUUGUCUGGUAUGCAGUGCCCUUCGGAAACCAGCUCUUCAGAACUCUACACCCCCAACAUCCCCAAAAGCUUAAAAUAUUAGGCUUUUUUAUUUUUGGUGGGUUUUUUUUUUUUUUCCACUAUACUUGGUUUUCUAAGUGAAAUUACUGAAAAGGAGUUUGUUUUUGUUUAUCUUUUGCCUUUGAGUGUCAGUCAGUGAUUCACAUAAUCUCUUGGCUUGCUUAGUGGUAACACUGGGGGUCUGGGCAGUAGGGCCAAAUAGUUGAACCUAACAAAUUAGUGGCCCAGCUUUAGUAUUUGCUUUCUGAACUAGAAUCUAAGUGCUGCAGCAAAAAGGAGUCCUUGGGUGGGGGAAAUAAGACAAAUUUGAAGCUGAUGAUUCUCAGCUGUCUUGAAGGUUGAUCUGGAGAGAUUUAAGUUUAUGCUAAGGAAUAACUUUCCAGUAGAACAAGAUAUUAAAAGUUGUUAGAUUUGUAUCAGUGAAGUUGUAGACUCACUUGUAGACUUUGAGAGAGUGCUUCAAGGAAGACACAAUCAUCUGUGGCAUGUCGGUUUGGUAUAGAAGGGCUGAGGCCAGGCAACCUUUUCAUCAAUGGUUUUCAUUCAAGUAUUAAUAGAGCUCCUAUUAUGUGUCUAGCCCUGAGAAAGGAUGUGGCCUGUGCUCCCGAAAUUUGAGGAGCUCAGAGUCGUUGACCCAUAGGCUGUGGAAGAUCCUUAGAGAUAAGCGGUUCAGCCUUAUUCUGCAGGGAGCAUUGAGGCCCGGAAAGUUGACUUGCUCGAGAUUACAUGGAGUUCGUGGCAGAUUUUUGACUGGAAGCUAGAUCAUUUUACUCCCAGUUUGGUAUUUUUCCAUUCGACUCUUGUUGAAAGUGCCUAUUGCUGUCAGAGAACAAUUCAAGACAAGAUAUGCUGAAGUGCACAUGGGAAGAGUUCAUUGCUACCUGGUGUUAUCUGGAAGUGUGACAGAUUUUGAAGAAUGGGUAUGGUGUGGACAUUACAAAAGAACCAGAAAAAUCUGGUCUCUGUUCUGUGUUGUUGGGGGAUAUUUACAUCGUUCAGUUCAAGUAUGAGCCUUUAAAUGUUAUCUCUGUUGGAGCACGUGCACACAGGAAGUUCCCUUAUUAAACAUCAAAAUGGAAGCUGGGUGAGGGUUGGGAGGUUGGAGGUGGGAGGGGAAGUGCAGUCCAAGUGAUUCACAGAUUUCUGAGUAAACUUGGCCAUCACACAUUGGAGGAUGAACUUUGAGUUCAUUGCUAGAACUUGGGGUCUAUGACGAGAGGGGCCCUUGUGGAGCUCUUGUGGAGGUCUUGACGUAAAGAACUUGAGCGACCCCCCUGGAACUUCUGCCUGGCUGCUAGGAAUUAGUUCUUGGCCUUAAUAUUUGAUCUCUUCUCACUCUAUGCCUAUGCCUAUAGGUUUCCUUUCCCAUUUAAGAGCAUUGCUAAAAGCAAAAGCAACAAUCUUAACCAUCUGCUCCUUAAACAAGAGGAGAUUUAUUACUUUUAAUCGAAAGGAUACUUGUUCCAACAGGAGAAGUGUAUGCCUCAGAGAGGAAAGCCUGUGGCAGCACAUAUAUUUUGGUCGCUGCUCUGCAGUCAGUUGUGUGUGUGUGGGGUGCUCCCCAAAGUGCAAGCAGCAGAUACAAGAGUUUAAGGCCAGAGAGAGCACUGAUGGUUCAGGAAACAGAAAGUUUAGUGCACAUGCAAUACGGCUGGAGUAUAGAGCAGGGGGCGGGGCCCUGAGGCAUCUAGCAAAGGGAGUGGGGAGAGGGAGAUUGGGGCUGAAGAAUCCAGAUCUGGAGGGCCUUGUAAACCGUGUUAAAGAAAGUAGACUUUAACUCAAGGGCAAUGGGGAUAUGACUAUGAGAUUUAAAUCUUAUAUCACUCUGAUUGCUGUAUUGGGUUGGAUUAUAGGAGAGGGAGAAUGAGAAACAGUAGAAUCAGUGAGACUAAUUAGAAGAAUGUUGCAUUAGUUGAAGAGAGAAGGGUUGGUGGCCUGAACCUGCAGGGACAGAACCAUGAAAAGCAAUUCUGGCACUCAAGGCAAACAGCUAAAAAUUGACCUUCAAACAAUUCUGUAAUUCAAGAUAUGGCUUGUAAGUGGAUGUGACUGUGAUGUGCCUUCCAAUAGCUUUCAAUUUAACUAAAUAUUGUGGAUAACCAGGUGCUAUUCUUUUAAAAUAAUUGUGUAAAAGAAAAACAAACCCCAAAACAAAAAAACUUCCCUCUCUGCUUUUUUGUCUCCAAGGGAAAAGCACCGUCAAUCCCUAGCAGUUAGUCUGGGGCAGAGGCAAGGGGAGGGAGGGAGGUGAUCAGAUUUAAGAGAUAGUUGAGAAGUCGGAUGGACAAGGAAAUCUUUUGAGGGAAAAAAUUUUUGAGUUCAUUUUUUUUUUUUUUUUUUUUGCGGUACGCGGGCCUCUCACUGUUGUGGCCUCUCCCGUUGUGGAGCACAGGCUCUGGACGUGCAGGCCCAGCAGCCAUGGCUCACGGGCUCAGCCGCUCCGUGGCAUGUGGGAUCUUCCCGGACUGGGGCACGAACUCGUGUUCCCUGCAUCGGCAGGCGGACUACUCAACCACUGCGCCACCAGGGAAGCCCCUGAGUUCAUUUUUAAAGUUGUUUUUUAAUUGAAAGAGUAAUACAUGCCACGGCAAAAUUCAAACCGUACUAAAGCUGUACAAUGAAAAGUAUGUCUCCUUAACCAGAGUCAACCACUGUUACUAGUUCUUGUGUAUUCUUCUAGAAGUUUUCUGUACCACUGUAAGCUUAAAUUUUUAGUAUUUUCAUUAAAAAUAUUUCUUUUUAUUAAAACAUUUAAUAUUUUUCUUUUUAUAAAAAUGGGAGCAUACCAUACACCCUGAUCUUCCCUUUACUAAUUCACUUAACAUUAUAUUGUGGCAGUCUUGCCACAUCUGCUUCAUUCUUUUUAAUGACUGUUUAAUAGUCCAUUGAAUGGGGACUUCCCUGGUUGCGCAAUGGUUAAGAAUCCACCUGCCAGUGCAGGGGACAUGGGUUUGAGCCCUGGUCUGGGAAGAUUCCACAUGCCAUGGAGCAACAAAGCCCGUGUGCCACAACUACUGAGCCUGUGCUCUAGAUCCCACAAGCCACAACUACUGAGCCUGUGUGCCACAACUACUGAGCCCACAUGCCACAACUACUGAAGUCCGUGAGCCUAGAGCCCGUGCUCUGCAACAAGAGAAGCCACCGCAAAGAGAAGCUCGCGCGCCACAACAAAGAGUAGCCCCCACUCGCCACAACUAGAGAAAGCCCGCGCGCAGCAACGAAGACCCAACGCAGCCAAAAGUAAAUAAAAAGUAAAAUAAAUUUAUAAAAAAAAGAAUGAUGCAUUUAAAAAAAUAGUCCACUGAACGAAUGUGUUAUCAUAAUUUAUUUAAAUUGGUCUCCAAACUGAUGGACUGGACAUUGGGGCUAUUUCCAAUUUUUGGUAUUUGAAUUAGAUUUUUACAUAAGAGAAGAGACAUGAAUUAAUAAAGGAAGAAUUUUAGGUCAUGAAAAAAGGUUUAUAUAUAAACAGGGACUCCUGGCAUUUUUGUGACUGAGGAACUGCUCUUGACUUGCCUAAGCCUUAGGGUGAAUGUAGUUAUGAGGGUGGAGGUGGGAGAGUAGUGAGUGUUUAUGCAGACCUUUGAGUCUAUGUGACUUAAGAACUGGGCAUGUCUAACAGGGAUGGAUUGAAGCUGGCAUAGACACUUCUUCGCCAAUUAAAGAUCUUUCAGGGGAGGAGGCUGCCACAGCUGUGAACACUGACCAUAUUCCCCUCCAGUAGAAAUGCCCUCUUGUCCACCCAUGGCUGUCAGUCACUGUAUUGUAUCCUAAAUCUACCUGCUGUCACAGUUGUUUAUCUGGGCCCCCUAGCCAUCGUGAGAAACAGGAAGUAUUUGUAAAAGAGAGUAGGUCUGAUAGCUUGGGAGGAAUGAGAAAUGGGCCAUUUUGUAAGGCUACCGCCCACUUGUUCUUCCCUUUGGUUUAAGCACACUUUGUCCUCUCCCACUGAUGUUGGAAGAGUUAGUUUCAGAUGCAACCAUUUACCAGUUGCAUGAUCUUGGGAAAGUAUCAAUAUCUCCAAACUUCAGUUCUCCCAUCAGCAAAAUGGGUAUAAUAAUUCCUGGUUGGCACAGUGUUGGUAAGAUUUAAUAAGCCAAUGGAUGUGAAAGGGCCUGUGUUUCAUUUUACUUUCUUCCAAGACCUUGCCAGAAUGGAGUUUGUAAAGCAAUAUGUAAUCCAACCCAAGACAGUGAAGCAUAUUCUAUUCUUUCCUGGGAUGUGCCUCCCAGUGUAAGCCUCCCAUACCCUCGGCUUUUAUGCUUUAUUGAAGCUAUUCCUGAAAGUUCAUCACCUUUAGGAAAAUAUUACCAGAUUUCUUUACAUUUCUAUAGCACUUUAUGGCUGGCAAAGAGACCUGAGCAACAAUGAUCUAAUUUGAGCCUCCCAUCAAACCAUCUGGGGUAAAUAGGGCAUGUUUUAUUCCCAUGUAAAAGAUGGCGUAACUGAGGCUUAGAGAAAUUGUUAUAAAGAAACUGAGACUCACAGAAGACACAUUGAUAGAGAGCAGGAAGAGGUCCCUCUAGACUACGACAGGACUGAUGAGGUGAGAGGUAGCUUCCCUGCUCUCAAUCUGCUUAGGCUUGGAAUUCUUGAGUCUGUUUCCCCAAUCACAUUUUACAUCCUAGUAAAAUACAUGUCACUGUAAAUAUUUGUUUAUUUAUUUGGCUGCGCUGGGAUCUUAGUUGCGGCAUGCAGGCUCUUAGUUGCAGCAUGUGGGAUCUGGUUCUCCCACCAGAGAUCGAACCCAGGCCCCCUGCAUUGGGAGUGUGAAGUCUUAACCACCGGACCACCAGGGAAGUCCCCAUGUCACUUUAUUUAUUUAUUUAUUUAAAAAGAUUUUUUUGAUGUGGACCAUUGUUAAAGUCUUUACUGAAUUUGUUACAAUAUUGCUUCUGUUUUAUGUUUUGGUUUUUUGGCCACAGGCAUGUGGGAUCUCAGCUCCCCAACCAGGGAUCGAACCAGCACCCCCUACAUUGGAAGUUGCGGCAUGCGGGAUCUAAUUCCCUGACCAGGGAUCGAACCGGGGCCCCCUGCUUUAGAAGCGUGGAGUCUUAACUACUGGACCACCAGGGAAGUCCCUAACGUAUUUUUAAAAUGUCACUCUGGCUGUUGUGUGGAACCUGGAUGGAAAGGGAGUGAGAGUGGAAGCAGGGAGACGCAGGGGUUCCUGUGGUGGUUCAGGUGAGAGAUGGUGGUUGGGGCCAAGGAGGUGGCCAUGGAAAUACUUCUUCUUGCUAGACUACAAACUCCAGGAAGGCUCGGAGCUGUCUCUUUUGUGUAACUUAUAUUCCAAGCUUCUAGAACAGUGCCUGGCACAUAGGAGGUCCUCAAAAAAUAUUAGUUGGAUCAAUGAGUGAAUAGUUACUUUCUGGAGUCAGACUGGAAUCAGGGUUAGGAUAAAUAAAAGUGUAAGCUCUUCUAAAAAAAAAAAAAAGCUGCAACUUUGUGUGUCUCCCAGUAUAUGGGCUACAACAGUAUUCCUAGGGGGUGGAGCGUAUUGUCUCCAGAACAAAGAGGUCCACCAGGGAUUGUGUUUCCUUCUUUGUGGAUGCAAGAUGCAGCAAUUUGCCUUUUCUUUAGAUGGGUGUCCUAGCUUACCCCUACCACUGGACCCCAAAUGACUUUACUGAAGGGGCAGUUCUCUGAAUGUUCCUAGAGUUUAUAUCUCACCCUCUUGAGUGCUUGUGUCUUACCAAGGCUUUAAGGUGCUAGCCACCUUUUGCUCAGUCUCCUGAAACAGCAUAAUGUCAUUGAUGCAAUGGAUCGAUGUGAUAUUCUGCGGGAUGUCGAGAUGGUCUAGAUCUUUUCUGAAUAUAUCACGACACAGAUUUGGAGAGUUACCACAGCCUGGGGAAAAAACUAAAUGCAUGUUGUUCAGUCCACAUGAAUGCUGUUUCUGAUCCUCUUUCCUGAUUGGGAUAAAGAGGAAUGCAUUUGCUAAAUCAGUGGCCACAUAUCAUGUACUUGAAGUCAUAUUUAUAUGCUCUAGCAAUGAGACCAUGUCCAGCGUGGUGGCUGCAAUCGGGGUGGAGUUGAACUGGCAACAGUCUACAGUCAUUCUCCAGGAUCUAUCUGUUUUCUGCAGGACCCAGACUGGUGAAUUAGACAGAGGUAUGGUAGCGACCACCAUCCCUGCAUCCUUAAGAUCCUAAAGAGCGGCACUGAUUUCUAUCUUCCCUCCAAAAUGGGGUAUUGUUUUUUAUUUACCAUCUUGUCUGGGGAGCAGAGGAGUGGGGAGAGGUGCACAGUUUUGGAGGUUUCCAUUUGUCCUUCUCCACUGUGAAAGCUCUUAUCACAUAAACCAAUAACCCAAUGUGGCGGCUUCGCCAACUGCCAAAUAUAGCAAUCCCAGCUACACGUUCAGGGACUGGGGCAACGACCACUAGGUGGGGCCAUGGACCCAGUGGACCCCCUUUAAGCUGACUUCAGCCAGGACUCCAUUUUGACCUGGCCCAUGUCCAUCACUCUAAUGGGGGUCCACAAUGACAUUUUAGGUCUCUGAAUAUCAGUAUCAUUUCAGAGCCUGUGUCCUGCCGGUUAUUCCCCCCCAACCUCCUAGUUUACAGUCACCCAAGUAAAAUGGCUGUGAGUCCCUUUGCAAGAAGGACUGGUAGAAUUAUUACAGUGUAUACUUGCUGUGACAUUGCAGGCUCCUUUCUCCUGGGGACUUGGACACUUUUUCAUUCAAUAGAUUUCAAGUCUGAAAGCAGUUUCAGGUCUUUGAACUGGACAAGGGAUUAUGACUUUUUUAUAAAGUGUUUAUUUUAUUUUAUUUUUUUGUGGUACGCGGGCCUCUCACUGUCGUGGCCUCUCCCGUUGCGGAGCACAGGCUCCGGACGCGCAGGCCCAGCGGCCACGGCUCACAGGCCCAGCUGCUCCGCGGCACGUGGGAUCCUCCCGGACCAGGGCACGAACCCGCGUCCCCUGCAUCGGCAGGCGGACUCUCAACCACUGCGCCACCAGGGAAGCCCUAUAAGGUGUUUUUUAAAAAAUAUAUUUAGCUGUGGUAAAAAACAUAAAAUUUAUCAUCUUAACCAUUUUUAACUGUACAGUUGAGUAGUGUUAAGCAUAUUCACAAUGUUGUGCAACCCAGCUCCAGAAAUUUUUCAUUUUGCAAUAUUGAAACUGCAUCCAUUAAAAAACAACCCAUUUCCCCCUCCCUGCAGCCCCUGGAAACCACCAUUCUACUUCCUGUUUAUAUGACUUUGACUAUUUUAGAUACUUCAUGUAAGCGGGAGCAUACAGUAUUUGUCUUUUUGUGACUGGCUUUCUUAGCAGUCCUCAAGGUUCAUCCAUGGUGUAGUAUAUGACAGGAUUUCCUUCCUUUUUUAAGGUUGAAUAAUAUUCCAUUGUAUGUAUAUACUACAUUUUGUUUAUCCAUUCAUCCUUUGGUGAACACUUGAGUUACUUCCACCUCUGGCCCACUGUUAAUAAUGCUGCUAUGAACAUGGAUGUGCAAAUAUCUCUUUAAGAUCCUGCUUUCAUUCUUUUGGAUAUAUACCAGGAGUGGGAUUGCUGGAUCAUAUGGUAAUUCUAUUUUUAUUUUUUUGAGGAACUACCAUAUUGUUUUCUAUAAUGGCUGCACCAUUUUACACUCCCACCAACAGUGCACAAGGGUUCCAAUUUCUCCACAUCAAGGGAUCAUGAUUUUUUCUUAUUGGGGCAACAGUGUUCAGCUCCCUGUUCACCUAGUCUUGCAUUCUUUUUUUUUUUUUUUUUUGCGGUACACGGGCCUCUCACUGUUGUGGCCUCCCCCCGCUGCGGAGCACAGGCUCCGGACGCGCAGGCCCAGUGGCCAUGGCUCACGGGCCCAGCCGCUCCGCGCACGUGGGAUCUUCCCGGACCGGGGCACGAACCCGCGUCCCCUGCAUCGGCAGGCGGACCCCCAACCACUGCGCCACCAGGGAAGCCCUCUUGCAUUCUUUUUAUAUAUUAAACAAUGCCCAUCUAUUUUGUCCCUAGGGAUAUCGUGUUCCAUUAACCAACUCAGAUCUCUGUGGGUUAAGCCCCCUUGGUUGGCCCUUCAAUCUUGCUGUUCAUUAAGAUAAUUGUGACCCCCUGGUUCCUACUGUUGCCACUUGGCCUCAACUGAUGGAGAUGGGGAGGGGGGUUUGAUUAUCUCCAUUGCUAUCAAUGAUCCCAGCUCUGUGAUUGCCUCUCCUGCUCUGCAGAGACGAGCCACCACUGAACUCAGUGAUGCUGGUGCCCCUCUAGUGGCUGUGGUGAAUGGUUUGUCUUCUGAACCUUCCAUGAAAUAUAAUCCUUUGGUGGGUCUUCAGGCCUCAAAUAAUAGAUCCAUUCCACUAUGUCCACUCCCUAAGCUUUUUAAUCCUUUCCUCCACCGUCUGAUGUGGCAAUUCCAGCAUUCCAACUUUGCUCAGUGUGGGACAUCACUUUUUCCAGGCUUCUAGGAGCACUCUAAGAACACAUUGGAAACAACUCUGGUGUCCUUGAUGAAAUGUAAACCCUAUAUCCCAAGAGAGUGCCCCUAAAUUAAUAAACUCUUUCUUAUCCAGUUUUAUAUUCUGGUACCCUUGAUCAAGCACACUCAAAAUCUAAUCCAUGGGGCUUCCCUGGUGGCGCAGUGGUUGAGAGUCCGCCUGCCGAUGCAGGGGACACGGGUUCGUGCCCCGGUCUGGGAAGAUCCCAUAUGCCGCGGAGUGGCUGGGCCCAUGAGCCAUGGCCGCUGAGCCUGCGCAUCCGGAGCCUGUGCUCCGCAAUGGGAGAGGCCACAGCGGUGAGGGCCCCGCGUACCGCAAAAAAAAAAAAAAAAAAAAAAAAUCUAAUCCAUGGCAUCCUCUCCUGCUCCUGCUGUUACAUGCUGGGUGUUAGUUCCUUUUCUUCCUUCUGAGGUCCAACAUGUUCUCAGCUGAAUUGUGCUGUGACUUAGCACCAGUUAUCAUCCUGGCAGCCAGAAAAGGAGAUGGGGUCAGAUCCUGACCUCUGCCACCUUCUAGGGAGGGGCCUUUACUGGGGAUAGGUGAUGCUAGCUCUUAACGGGGAGGGGUGGAUCACUUUUGUAUGGGAAACCAAAGUCUUCAGGGACAUCUACCAUCCGAGGAUACCGGAUGUCCCCACUCCAUGUGUCAGGGUUCCAGUACAGGUUUUCUCAACUAGGGCCCUGGCCCUGGCACAACAGAUCUACCCUGUCCGAAGGUUCUAGUUUCCUGCCUCAGGUGAAAGUUUGUCUUUGAAGUUCUGCAUCUCUACUAGUUUCUGAGUUGGGUCUUCAUUCUUUACUGCUCUCUUAACAGCAGGAGAGAAGGACCUCCUUGUAAGCUACCAAAGAAGCCUCAGGCUUUCACACUUAAUUUCAAUUGGUUGGUAAUUGCUUUUCCUUGUCUCCCCAUAAGAUGCCAAAGCAGUUUAGUAACAAUCAGCCAAUUUUCAUCUCCUUGUAUGAGUCAUUUCCCUAUACUUUUCAAAUACCUGAAUCAUUUCACCGGCAGGAGGGUCUCCUCCAUCAGAUCAUUCUCCUGAAUUACCACUGGUGAAAGUUUUUCUGGCUGGAGACUGUUCCUGUCUCUCUAUUAUUUUUCCAAUAAAUUUUGCUUGCAAACUGAAUGGUUCCUUCUUUGGUUCCUUUCUCUUGCAAAAAUACCUUAUCAUUUACAGCUAAGAAAAGCUUACUGGUACUUUCAACAUUCUGCCUGGAAAUCUCCUUAGCUACCUCCAAUAAGCUCAUUAGGUACAUUUUCUAUCUUCCAAAGUACCAUAGGUGACAGUUUCAUAAAUUAUUCCACCACUAUUUAACACAAGGUAACCCUUUCUCCAGCGUCCAAUGGUAAUUUCCUCCCCGAUCAUCCAGCCUCUACUAAUAGUCUCUUGGCUGCCCUUCUAGCCUCUGUUUACUGCCUGGUCCCAAUGCCAGUGUCCUGUGUUUUGGGUUUUAAGUAUUGCAGUUUCCUACUUUAGUGUUUCAGUUUCUACUGCUGAAUAACAAACCACUCUCAAACUUAGUGGCUUAAGACAACAAUGAUUUAUUAAUUUCUCACAAUACUGUGGGCUGACUGCAUGGUUGGUCUUUGGUCUUGCAUGUUGUGCUGCAUUUAGCUUGCGUUUGCCCAGAGGCUCAGAUGUUUGGGAUGGUUUCGCGCGGUUUCAAUGCCUCUUUCCCCACAUGGUCUCAUAUCCCAAAGAUGCUCGGCCAGGUUUCUUACUUGCAGCUAAAUUUUAAGAGGGCCAGAGAGGACACUGUGAGACCUCUUAGGGCCUAAACUCUGGAACUUACACAAUUGCACGUUCUACUGGUCAAAGCAAGUCACAAGGCAAACCCAGAUUCAGACAGCACUUGGAGAAAUAGCAAUGCCUCUUGAGUGGGAGAAGUAAACUCACAAUGCAAGAGCAUGGAUGGAGGUUGAUUCAUUGAGGGCCAUUAUUUAAGGAUCUACCACACUUAAAUUUAAGGUGCCUGUUAAAAUGGAAUACUAUUCAGCCAUAAAAAAGAAUAAAAUUUUGCCAUUUGCAGCAACAUGGAUGGAUUUGGAAGGCAUUACGCUAAGUGAAAUAAGUCAGACAGAGAAAGACACAUACUGUACGAUGUCACUUACAUGUGGAAUCUGAAAAAAUAUAACAAACUAGAGAAUAUAACAAAAUAAGCAGCAGACUCACAGAUACAGAGAACAAAGUAGUGGUUACCAGUGGAGGGGGAUAUAGGAGUGGGGGAGUGGGAGGUACAAACUAUUGGGUGUAAGAUAGGCUCAAGGAUGUUGUAUUGUACAACAUGGGAAAUAUAGCCAAUAUUUUGUUAUGACUGUGAAUGGAGUAUAACCUUUAAAAUUGUAUUAAAAGAAGUUAAUACAUCCUAAGAGUUCUCAUCACAAGAAAAAAAAAAAAGAUGCCUGUUAGACACCCAAGUAAAGAUGCCAAAUAGGUACUUAGCUGUAAGUGCCUUGAUCCCAGAGCCGGGGGUUAGGCCAGGGAAGGAAAUUGGGAAUCAUCAACAUACAGACAUGAUGCUAUGUGAAUCAUCCUGCCCUGCGGGUUCCUGGUUGCUGCGGCAGUGGACUGUGGAGGAGUCAGGGUGCCAGCAGGAUGCAGCGCUCUGAACGAGGCUGGGUAAAGGCUGGGGGAAGAAGGACAUUCUGCUCUUGCAGCGGCUCCAAGUCCACUCCCCCACUCGGGUGUAGAGGAUUCCACUAGCCCUCUCCUUCCACCUCCCUCCUUGAUAGAGCCACAGGCGUUAGGGAUGAGGUUAGGACAACUGGUCUGCAGGCAGAGGAUAUAGGACAGGCAACCAUUCCACUGCCUUGUUUUGCCACCUAAAGAAAGGAACCCAGUAAAACGGGGAACGAGCCACAUUGCCCUGCUCAAUCUUCUUUCUGUUGCACUGCAUUUGCUGCCAGGUAGGACAAAUUUGCAAAAGCAACUACAUUCCCAUUGUUACCACUUGUGGCCAUUUCCUCUCAUUCUUCAUCUAGAAGACAGUUUAGGCAUCAUCCUCAAAUGUCCGACAACACUUUGUCAACCCAAAACUGAUUACCCUUAUUUUAGAUUUUUCUGUGUUUCUUAGGAGGAAGGGGCUGUUUGCUGUCAUGGUUUUGCUAUAUGGAAGAGGAAAAGCAAGAAUGAGGUUGAGUCUAGUAUUUUUGAAAGAAAGAGGUGAUUUCAGAGCUAUUCCAAACCAGCAGGAAAGACAGGGGAGAUAAAUCCAACUUGUCCAAAGGAGAAAGCAAAGAGGAGGAGGGAAUAAGUCGGAGGCUGUGAUGCAGAUCAACAGUUCUAUGUUACCUGCUCUUCUCUAAGUUACUCUUCUCCGUAUUGUCUUUACGAAAAUGAAAACUGCCUAUGUCCCUCCUUUCUGUAGCUGCAUCAGCCUCUCCCUCCUGAUAACUUAGGAAGAGCAGGACAUCUGUAUUCUCCAAUUCUCCCCAACCUUAACGCAGUUCUCUCCAUACUCGUUAACUCUCCAAGAUCUUAUUUUUAAGCUGGUUUUGCUAAUUUUUGCAUUCUCCUCAAGGCUGCUUUCAAGCCCAGGCUGGGGUUGGGGCCGCAGCCGGGGUGAGGCAAGUACAAGAGUUUCUGGCUCCAUCUCCCAUUUCCUGAGCUGAGCUGGGCUGUACUAAUUGACCUCGAGGGUCUCAGCUGUGCUAAGUUGUAUGUUUGUUAGAUCUCGUUAGGAUUGUAAUUAGUGCAGAGAAUCUAGGUCAGAGGCAACUGGUUGGAUUGAUGGUCUCAGGGGGCAUGAAUAAAGGCCGGGAAUAGCAAACAGGUUCCUCGUUCUUGGGUGGGGCAGGGAAUGGUGGGACUUGUGUCAAACACACAGACAAAUAGACACAGGGUCACGUGCAGAGAGGCGCUCAAAAACUGUUAGCGUGUGUGUUAGGGUGUGUGUGUGUGUGUGUGUGUGUGUGUGGUGUGUUCGCUCCCACAUUUACUCGGGUUUCUUUUCAACCUCUCCAUAUAUGGUGUGGCUCUAGAGCAGCCUGGGGAUUGGCUGCUGUUGUUGGGAGACUCGGAGGUAGGAAGAAAGCAGAAAAAAGAACGAACCCAGCAAGGGGAGGG